UUUUUUAAAUUUAACUAAUUUUUAUUUUUUUAAGUACUAUUUCGACUUUUAUAUAAUUUAUAUUUAUGAUUUUAUUAAUUAAUAUAAUUUUUAUAAUAUUUAAAAAAUAAAAUAAAACGACAUGGCACGUUUUAAUGAUGUCACAUGUCAAUUUUUUAACCCAUAAGUUAUAUGGUUUAACAAAUUAAUAGUUGAAGUAUAAAAGUGGAAUAAAGAAAAAAAAUAAUUACCAAUUUAAGAGCUAAAUUGAGAAUUAUUUAUUAAUAAAGUAAUCUUAAUUAAUGUAUAAUUAUAUAUAUAAAUUUUAAUUUUGUGUAAUUUUAUAAAUGAAAUUUUAAUUUGAUUCAAUUCUUGUAAAUUAUUAACACAAUUAUUUAUAUAAAAUUAUUUUAUGUUUGUAAGGCCCAAAUUUUGCCCGGGGCUCAAUAAAACCAAACCCAAAUUAAACCUAACCCAUUAUCCAGUUACAAGCCAAACCCAAUUUUGGCCCAACCUAAUCCCAUUACACUAGCCCAACCCAAACACACAAAAAAAAACUAAAAAAACUAGCCAUCAAAGUCUGUCACCACCCACACCUCCACUUGCCUCACUUACACCUGCAAAGGAGAAAAAGGAGAAAAGACAGCAACAAAUAAUAAUAAAAUUUGUAAAAAAUGGAUGGCUAUAAGAAAGCCAUCCGAAAAUCAGGAAGAAAAAGGGGGAAUUUUGGAUUCUAUCUCAUUUUUUUCGGCUAAAAAUAGAAGCCGAAAGAAAUCGUAAAAGGGGAUCCCCAUUCUUGUACGCAGGAUUUCAGAAAAAAAACACAAAGAAAAGGUGGAUUUCCGAUCGUAUUCUCUUGGUUUUCAUUUUGUUCUUUAGUUUCUUUUUUAUUUUUGUUUACAAAUCUAUUAAACGAAAGUGGGCAUAAAAAAUAAAAUAAAAAAGAGAGGAGAAGAGAGUCUUACCGAAUGCAUCCCGGGGUUGCGUCGCCGGAGUUUCCUUUUUCGUCGUCAGAAUCGACGCAAGGAGAAGGUGGGGGUUCUUUCUCCUUUGUUUUCUUCGAUAUAGAGAGGUAUCACCAUUGAAUCUCCCUUUAAAAGUGCCAAAAACUCGAUUCCAUGAGGCUUUGAACCACCGUUUACGAUGGAAGCCACGGCGGGUUCACGAUGGUUUGGUGACAGUUCAAAAGGGGAAAGGUAGAAAACCUAGCAGAGAAAAGAAGUUGAGGAGAAUGGGCUGCUUUCUUUAUUUCUGUUGAAUGAAUAAAAAUGGGUGAAUGUUUUAAGAAAAAAAAAAGUUUUUUAAAAAAAAAGGGAUUUGGGUGUUCUAAUUUUUUUUUUUUUUAAAAAGGGGUCACUAUUCUUUAAUUUUAAUUGCUUUUGGGGAAAGGAAAAAGAUGGCUGCAUGGACAGUUAGUUUUGCGCAUAUUCCCCUUAAAUGGGUAAUUUGCGCGGCCAGUCCUUCUUAUUUUGCGUUACUUUUAAUUUGUCCCUAUUAUGUUUCUUUUAUUUUUCUCCAAAAGUUUGCAUGCUGUUUCAGUUUGGUCCGCGUCUAGGCAGUGUUUUUGGUGAUUUGGGUCAUUUUCAAUUUUGAUCCCCGAGCAUUUGUGCGCGUUUUAUUUCGGCCCACAAUUUUGUUUAAAUAAUUAGUUUUGUUUAUAAAUUAUCCCUUUGGUUUUGUUGUGCUUACAAUGAAGUUUUUUUCCUUAAGAAAUAAGAGCAUAUUAUUUUAACAUAUAAUCUUGUAUUGUUUUGAUG
rnacentral:lncRNA from 1 species